GCAAGUCGAACGAGAAAGUUUCCUUCGGGAAGCGAGUACAGUGGCGCACGGGUGAGUAACGCGUAAGUGAUCUACCCUCGCAUCAGGAAUAACUACGGGAAGCUGUAGCUAAUACCAGAUACGUUCUCCAAUUUACGAAUAGGAGAAGAAAGAUGGCCUCUUCUUGAAAGCUAUCGUGCGGGGAGGAGCUUGCGUACCAUUAGCUAGUUGGUAGGGUAAUGGCCUACCAAGGCAACGAUGGUUAGCGGGUCUGAGAGGAUGAUC
rnacentral:rRNA from 1 species